GAAUUGGGCGACAACGAUAGCGUACACUCGGUAGCAGACGAUUGCUGAAGAGAAAAGUUGUUUUUGUAUGAAAUUACAAAUUUUUACGAAGGACCUGAAGCCGUCCAUCACCUCUACUCUAUAACCUUUCUUGAGGAAUUCAAACAUGUUUCGAGGAGUGUUGACAUUUGGUGUUGGAAUCUAUGCCGGAAUUUACCUCAGUCAAAACUACCAGAUUCCGAGAGUGGACGAGCCAAAAGUCGUGUGGGAAAAGAUCCAGUCCCUCAUGGAGCAGUACAAGAAGCCUCCACCAACGGGCGACAAGUGAAGCCAAAUAGCGCCUGCACCCCAUUUUCUUUUUUUUUCCAAUUUGCAGCCAAACUUCCAUAAAAUGAAUAUGACAUGUAAUUGUCCCAGUCUCGUGUUUAGGGAAUAAUAUCAAUACAAAUGCCAAUUGCAAGUGCA